rnacentral:rRNA from 1 species
GAUCCUGCCGGACCCGACUGCUAUCAGAGUGGGACUAAGCCAUGCGAGUCGACACAGCAAUGUGUGGCAUACGGCUCAGUAACACGUAGUCAACAUGCCCAGGGGACGUGGAUAACCUCGGGAAACUGAGGAUAAACCGCGAUAGGUCACUACUUCUGGAAUGGGUAAUGACCCAAACCUAUAUGGCCCCUGGAUUGGACUGCGGCCGAUCAGGCUGUUGGUGAGGUAAUGGCCCACCAAACCUGUAACCGGUACGGGCUCUGAGAGGAGGAGCCCGGAGAUGGGCACUGAGGCAAGGGCCCAGGCCCUAUGGGGCGCAGCAGGCGCGAACCUCUGCAAUAGGCGAAAGCUUGACAGGGUUACUCUGAGUGGUUUCCGUUAAGGAGAUCUUUUGGCACCUCUAAAAAUGGUGCAGAAUAAGGGGUGGGCAAGUCUGGUGUCAGCCGCCGCGGUAAUACCAGCACCCCGAGUGGUCGGGACGUUUAUUGGGCCUAAAGCAUCCGUAGCCGGUUCUACAAGUCUUCCGUUAAAUCCACCUGCUCAACAGAUGGGCUGCGGAAGAUACUAUGGAGCUGGGAGGCGGGAGAGGCAAGCGGUACUCGAUGGGUAGGGGUAAAAUCCGUUGAUCCAUUGAAGACCACCAGUGGCGAAGGCGGCUUGCCAGAACGCGCUCGACGGUGAGGGAUGAAAGCUGGGGGAGCAAACCGGAUUAGAUACCCGGGUAGUCCCAGCUGUAAACGAUGCAGACUCG